rnacentral:rRNA from 1 species
GGGCCCGCACAAGCGGUGGAUCAUGUGGUUUAAUUCGAAGCAACGCGAAGAACCUUACCUGGACUUGACAUCCUCUGAAUGCGGUAGAGAUAUCGUAGGCUCGCAAGAGACAGAGAGACAGGUGCUGCAUGGCUGUCGUCAGCUCGUGUUGUGAAAUGUUGGGUUAAGUCCCGCAACGAGCGCAACCCCUACUUUUGGUUGCCAUCAUUAAGUUGGGCACUCCAGAGGGACUGCCGUCGUUAAGACGGAGGAAGGUGGGGAUGACGUCAAGUCCUCAUGGCCUUUAUGUCCAGGGCGACACACGUGAUACAAUGGUAGGUACAGAGGGAAGCCAAACGGCGACGUGGAGCAAAUCCCAAAAAACCUAUCUCAGUUCGGAUUGGAGUCUGCAACUCGACUCCAUGAAGCUGGAAUCGCUAGUAAUCGCGGAUCAGCACGCCGCGGUGAAUACGUUCCCGGGCCUU